AGUUCUGACAUAUCAGGACUCCCACGCCCUAAAACACACGCUUUCUCUGGUUUUCUCUGUGUCCUUUAAUAGGUACUUGUCAGCACAGCGUGGGCAGCCCUGAGACGCAGCCCUGAGACGCAGUCAUCGGGAAAAGCAGAGCAGACUGAAAUGCUUGGCUCAGUUGGGCACCUGUCCCUGCCCACCACGGGUGGGGGUGAGGAGCGGUUUUAUGAAGAUCAAGCAGAUCGAUACUUCCAGUGCGCUCCAGGUCUCCAGAGGCAAUGCCAGAGAUUAGCACUGUGGUUGUAAAGAUCCCGUUCCCCACAGACUGUGCACAUCCCCUCGACCUGCCAGCGUCCCUGCACCUGGAAGCAAAGUCGAUUUUGGCGACUGCUGCCUGGGAAAAAUUCCGUCCUGGAGAGACGGCCGGGGCCAGGGUGUUCUGAGAGCCACGGAGGAGGUGGGAAUGUGUCCUCGUUUCGGAGCACUGGCCUCUGACAUAUAAAUCUUAUGAUAAGACAUCAGAAGGAGAAGGAGCCCCCCAGGCAGGCGGGACAUCUCUGGUGACAUUCCUUGGGUCCUGGACAAGCAUCCUGAGAUAAUGCCCAUUAUUUAUCUCAUUUUUUCCUGCAUAAUAAAACAAACCAGGCUGUUAA